rnacentral:rRNA from 1 species
GGAGGUUACUGCUAUCGGUGUUCGCCUAAGCCAUGCGAGUCAUAUGUUCUUCGUGAACAUGGCGUACUGCUCAGUAACACGUGGAUAACCUGCCCUUGGGACCGGCAUAACCCCGGGAAACUGGGGAUAAUUCCGGAUACCGCAUAUAUGCUGGAAUGCUUUAUGCGUGAAAUGGAUUCGUCUGCCCAAGGAUGGGUCUGCGGCCUAUCAGGUAGUAGUGGGUGUAAUGUACCUACUAGCCUACGACGGGUACGGGUUGUGAGAGCAAGAGCCCGGAGAUGGAUUCUGAGACAUGAAUCCAGGCCCUACGGGGCGCAGCAGGCGCGAAAACUUUACAAUGCGGGAAACCGUGAUAAGGGGACACCGAGUGCCAGCAACAUUUGUUGGCUGUCCAGGUGUGUAAACUACACCUGUUAGCAAGGGCCGGGCAAGACCGGUGC